rnacentral:rRNA from 1 species
CCUACGGGCGGCAGCAGUGGGGAAUAUUGGACAAUGGGCGAAAGCCUGAUCCAGCCAUGCCGCGUGUGUGAAGAAGGCCUUCGGGUUGUAAAGCACUUUCAGUGGGGAAGAAAGCCUUGGGGCUAAUACCCUCGAGGAAGGACAUCACCCACAGAAGAAGCACCGGCUAACUCCGUGCCAGCAGCCGCGGUAAUACGGAGGGUGCGAGCGUUAAUCGGAAUUACUGGGCGUAAAGCGCGCGUAGGCGGUCUGAUAAGCCGGUUGUGAAAGCCCCGGGCUCAACCUGGGAACGGCAUCCGGAACUGUCAGGCUAGAGUGCAGGAGAGGAAGGUAGAAUUCCCGGUGUAGCGGUGAAAUGCGUAGAGAUCGGGAGGAAUACUAGUGGCGAAGGCGGCCUUCUGGACUGACACUGACGCUGAGGUGCGAAAGCGUGGGUAGCAAACAGGAUUAGAUACCCUAGUAGUC